GCUAGCUAUAUAGGGGCCUGGCCUGGGAAGAAACCCAGAACAAAAAAGACCUUAUCUUUAUCCUAUCCCAUCCCCAAUCCCACCUCCGCGAGCGAGAGAGAAGGAAGACGAAGAAGAUGCUGCUGGGCUCCUCCUUCGCGUCGCCGUUCACCCAGCUCCACCUCUCGCCGAGCCCCAAUGCGGGGGCGGGGGCGCGGCCGGCGGCGGGGCUGGCGCUGAGGAUCGAGGCGGCGAAGCAGCUGACGGGGCGGGUGGUGACGACCAAGGCGAACAAGACGGUGGGGGUGGAGGUGGCGCGGCUGAAGCAGCACCCAAAGUACCACCGCCGGGAGAAGAUCAAGAAGAAGUACCAGGCGCACGACCCCGACAACCAGUUCAAGGUCGGCGACUUCGUGGAGCUCGUCCGCUCCCGCCCCAUCUCCAAGACCAAGCACUUCCUCGCCGUCCCCGUCCCGCCCCGCGACACCCGCCGCAAGGCCCAGCUCCUCCCGCCCCUCGAGUCCCAGUCCGGCGACGACUCCGCGGCCGCCGCCGCCGAAGAGACCACCGCCUAGUGAUGCUUCUUGCUUUUGCUUUCCCCCAUUAUCUUCUCUGUUAAUUAAUCGUCGUCGUUCCCUUUGCUGCUGCUGCUGUUCUUGCUCCCCUGUAGACUGAACUUUGAUACUGCUCGGUACCGCUUGGCUCUGAAAUCUGUACUUUUUCUUCUUCCUGCGGCAAGAAUUAAUCUUGGUACUACUACUUGAUUGCAUUCUUGGAGUAUUUAUGUAUUGCCGUAAUCUCUAGCAUGGUCAUGAUGGUUGAUGAUGAACAACCAAACAAACGAACAAAGUAUUACACACUUGCUGGUGUUACAUAAUACGUACUUAUCUGAAGAAUGCUCUGUCGCUCCAGUGUGUCUUUUAUGUCAGACUUUUCUGAGAUAUUAUGAAAUUUCAGAGUUGAAUCAGAGUUUAAAUGGGACGGGAUUGUUUGCACUGCAGAAGCACAUCCGUCAUACUGGUUAUUUGCGGUGACAGUUCCUUCGGAUUCAGUCCGAUGCGUGCAUCCUAGGCAGUUCAGUACCAGCACAAGGAAGAUCCAAUGCCUAACAUGAACUUGAUUCAGUUUGUUUCAAGUGCAGUUGCUCUCUAGCUCGCAUCUCAAACAUCCUGGAUGCCGCAGAUCAUGAGCAUUCUGGGACACACUCUUACAUGAACUUGUUUGUCUGAA
rnacentral:rRNA from 1 species